rnacentral:rRNA from 1 species
GACGAACGCUGGCGGCGUGCUUAACACAUGCAAGUCGAACGGAAAGGCCCUGCUUUUGUGGGGUGCUCGAGUGGCGAACGGGUGAGUAACACGUGAGUAACCUGCCCUUGACUUUGGGAUAACUUCAGGAAACUGGGGCUAAUACCGGAUAGGAGCUCCUGCUGCAUGGUGGGGGUUGGAAAGUUUCGGCGGUUGGGGAUGGACUCGCGGGUUAUCAGCUUGUUGGUGGGGUAGUGGCUUACCAAGGCUUUGACGGGUAGGCGGCCUGAGAGGGUGACCGGCCACAUGGGGACUGAGAUACGGCCCAGACGCCUACGGGAGGCAGCAGUGGGGAAUAUUGCACAAUGGGCGGAAGCCUGAUGCAGCAGCGCCGCGUGCGGGAUGACGGCCUUCGGGUUGUAAACCGCUUUCGCCUGUGACGAAGCGUGAGUGACGGUAAUGGGUAAAGAAGCACCGGCUAACUACGUG